rnacentral:rRNA from 1 species
AAGGGCCAUCGCUCAACGGAUAAAAGGUACUCCGGGGAUAACAGGCUGAUCUUGCCCAAGAGUUCAUAUCGACGGCAAGGUUUGGCACCUCGAUGUCGGCUCAUCGCAUCCUGGGGCUGGAGCAGGUCCCAAGGGUUGGGCUGUUCGCCCAUUAAAGCGGUACGUGAGCUGGGUUUAGAACGUCGUGAGACAGUUCGGUCUCUAUCUGUCGCGGGCGGAGGACGUUUGACGGGAGCUGCCCCUAGUACGAGAGGACCGGGGUGGACGGACCUCUAGUGUGCGAGCUGUCCUGCCAAGGGCACCGCUCGGUAGCUAUGUCCGGCAGGGAUAAGCGCUGAAGGCAUCUAAGCGCGAAACCCGCCUGAAGAUGAGAUCUCCCGGGGCGUAAGCCCCCUGAAGGGCCCUGGUAGAUGACCAGGUUGAUAGGCCGGAGGUGUAAGCACCGUGAGGUGUUCAGCUGACCGGUACUAAUCGCCCGUGCGGCUUGACCAC